GAGGAAAGAGGGAGGCGUGCCUAAUACAUGCAAGUCGAGCGAACGGACGAGAAGCUUGCUUCUCUAAUGUUAGCGGCGGACGGGUGAGUAACACGUGGAUAACCUACCUAUAAGACUGGGAUAACUUCGGGAAACCGUAGCUAAUACCGGAUAAUAUUUUGAACCGCAUGGUUCAAAAGUGAAAGACGGUCUUGCUGUCACUUAUAGAUGUAUCCGCGCUGCAUUAGCUAGUUGGUAAGGUAACGGCUUACCAAGGCAACGAUGCAUAGCCGACCUGAGAGGGUGAUCGGCCACACUGGAACUGAGACACGGUCCAGACUCCUACGGGAGGCAGCAGUAGGGAAUCUUCCGCAAUGGGCGAAAGCCUGACGGAGCAACGCCGCGUGAGUGAUGAAGGUCUUCGGAUCGUAAAACUCUGUUAUUAGGGAAGAACAUAUGUGUAAGUAACUGUGCACAUCUUGACGGUACCUAAUCAGAAAGCCACGGCUAACUACGUG
rnacentral:rRNA from 1 species